UGGUAAGGCAGGGGACUGCAAAUCCCCCAUCCCCAGUUCAAAUCUGGGUGUCGCCU
rnacentral:tRNA from 1 species